rnacentral:lncRNA from 1 species
CAAAUACAUCGUGUCUGACUGGCAUCCAUCAAGAAGUGCACUUUAUUUGAGGUUGUACUGUAUGUGAGGAACAAAAUAUUUUCAGCUUUGACAUUGCUGAAUCAUAAAUACUGUGUCACAAACACACGUUAAAUGAAAUGACAGAAUAAAGGCCAUACGUUAGUUCAACCAAUCUGUACACAGUCGAUGUCAAAAAACUCCUACCCCAUGAAAAUUGUAGAGACUUUGAUUCUAACCCCAUAUCACUGCCAAAAUUUCAGGUGAAGCUUAUCAUUGCUAAGACUUCAGAUGAAUCUAUUUAGAUUCAAUCAACCAGAUGGCAAAGGCAGAGUUCUAAAUAAUAUUUUUAUGUUUUAGACAUAUAAAGGGAAUUAUAGCCAUUUGCUGAGAAUAUUUCACUUUCUGAUGGAAGGUGGCCACAUGCCUAACUGGAGAGUCUUCAUAUAUUAUUAAUUGAAAAAAUAAAAGUA